CCCUUAGAUGUUCUGGGCCGCACGCGUGCUACACUGAGUAAUUCGAUGGGUAAGGGAACGCUAGAGCAUUACCUAAUCUUGAAAUUUGCUCGUGAUGGGGAUCGACGGUUGCAAUUUUCCGUCGUGAACGAGGAAUACCUUGUAGGCGCAUGUCAUCAUCAUGCGCCGAAUACGUCCCUGCCCUUUGUACACACCGCCCGUCGCUCCUACCGAUUGAGUGAUCCGGUGAGGCUCUGGGACCUGGACGGAAAGAGCGUUUCGCUUGUUCUGUUUGGGAAACUUGGUCGAACCUUAUCAUUUAGAGGAAGGAGAAGUCGUAACA
rnacentral:rRNA from 1 species